CCGUCCGACACAAGUACUCACCAAAGCAGCCGUGCAGCAGGCGAGAAUAAUAUUUCCUGGUUCACGUACGCAUAAAAAAUCUAUGAUUAUGCGUUGAUUUAAAUGGAGCUCAAAGCGUGUGAAUAAAGACUUCAUAAAGGAAAUAGUGACUGCAGAUGGUAAUAAAAGAAAAGUAUAUGUUUUACAUGUAAUA